UACGUAGGGUGCAAGCGUUAAUCGGAAUUACUGGGCGUAAAGCGUGCGCAGGCGGUUUUGUAAGUUUGUCGUGAAAGCCCCGGGCUCAACCUGGGAAUUGCGAUGAAGACUGCAAGGCUUGAAUCUGGCAGAGGGGGUAGAAUUCCACGUGUAGCAGUGAAAUGCGUAGAGAUCAGGAGGAACACCCAUGGCGAAGGCAGCUCUCUGGUCGACCUCUGACGCUGAGACGCGAAAGCGUGGGGAGCGAACGGG
rnacentral:rRNA from 1 species